CGCCCGUACACCACUGUUUCGAAUUCACAAACAGAAAAUAUUCUAUACCACCCUAUUUAGCACCCUCCAAAAACAUCCCUUCCUUUGCUCUUAAAAAAGCAUCGCCAUCUUGCAAUACCAUUCCAAUUUCAAACAGCCGGCUAGACGAAGCAAUCCCCGAAACACUCCGGUCAUUCCCAUUAUUUUUAUUUUUUUAUUUGUAUUUUCGCGGUAUUCGACUGUAAAAUGAAUAUUUAGUUUUAAAUGAGUUCGCGCUAUUGAUUUCGAGUGAAAAUUGUUUUUUUAUCGGUUCUCUAGUGUUCUUAAAUAGUUAUCAGAGGUUUCUUAUUCGAUAAUCAGUCUUUUUUUUAUCGGAAAUUCAGUAAAAGUUCACGUGGUUGGUAAACAGGCGCCCGCGCUUCGUUGGCCAUUUAUCGCUAGGCCUAAAUGAGCGGCGAACGCGCGAAUUCGCGAAAAUUUUGCAAGAACUUUCACAGUAUUUCAUCCAAUAAGAUUCUUAUAGGCCUAUUUUUUUAAUGGUACAAAUAAAUAGUGUGGAUCCUUAAUUAUACGAUUGAAGUGAUUUUUUUUCGAAAUUGGACAGUGAAACUAAUAAUUUCGAUAUAUUCCGCGGUGGUGUGGUUUUCGGACUUUGACUGUGGAAGUAAAUGUCCUGUGGAUUCUUUGUUUGUGGAUUUUUCUGGAAAUAAACACAUUUAUUGGUGUACCUCCGGUUGUUCCUGCUUGGAUAAUUCAACAUCGUGGAACAUUGUUAUCGAGUUUUACACAGAUAUAUGAUGAUCUUCUUGGGCACUGUGAAGCAAGACGAGAAAAAAUCCAUUCCGACUCAAAAACGACUCAUCCCGUCGAGGCAGUAUAUAAUCCAGUGGAGACUUCAAGAACAAUCAGGUGUUCGUGGUCUUGCUCCUGGAUACACAAAGAAAUAUUACGUGCGAAGAUAACAUUUUUAACGAAAUUAAUCACAAUGUUUUAUACAUCUUGACCAAUAAGCUGCUUAAGUGUACAGAUAUUCUUCGGGAUGUAUAAAAUAUUAAUCAUAAUUUGAUUCGUUAAAUCGCAAAUUGAUUUUGUGAGUGAAAUGUGAUACAGAAGAGGAUAUUUGUGACCCAAUGUCUAGUCAAGUAGUGAUCCCAAUCAAUAACAACCCAUGUGUAUUUAUAGCCCAAACACAUGGUCGGAUUUGUUACGGUCGGACGGUCCGGUGGGCGCCUCGUACGAAUUGGUCUGGCCUCGUACUUGGUACGGUUUUUUUAUGGAAAAGGAGGACAAACGAGCGUACGGGUCAUCUGGUGUUAAGUGAUCACCGCCGUUGACAUUGUCUUGCAACACCAGAGGAAUCAUAGGAGCGUUGUCGGCCUUUAAGAAAGUCGUACGCGCUAUAAUAUAAUAAUUUUAAUAAUCCAUAUACCAUCAAAUAUGGUCCGCUAACUAGAUUGUGAUUAUUUUAUAGCGAUAGAAAUGACUGUACAAUAUUGUAUAUUUUUAUUGAAAAGAGCGCAAAAAAGGAAUGCUGGGAGAGUUUCUUGCGCCGCUUCUUCUCUUUCAGAACGCCAUUUGUUUCCGAAGCGGUAGUAGUAUCAAGUAGUUUUUAGAAAUGACAUCAAAAAGAAUUGUAAAGAAAUCAAUUUUGAGAAAAUAUACACCUUUUUAUGCCUUUUAACAGACCGCGUCCGAUGGUUCGGCCGUACCAAAUCCGAUCAUGUGUUAGGCUAUUAUAGUUUCAUUUGAUACAAAAACUCUAAAGAGCAUACAUAAUAAAUUGAAACGUUAUGGGCGUGAUAGUAAGUGUGCAAAACUAUCCGAAGUCAAUUAACAAAGAGCCAUAUUUUUUUUUUUUUUUUUAAUUUUUGUUAAAAUUUAAUCAAUAGGUACAAAUGUUUUCAUGUAAAGUUUUCAUAAAGGAAAAUAAAAGUUUACUUAACUUAAUUUCAACUUCAAAAUAUUGCGUUAUUUAGUAGUGAAACGUUCAAAAUUCGGACAACGAUCUACCACGGUGGUAUUUCUAUCAACAAAAUUUAUGUUUAUCGUGUAAUAUUUUAAUUUUUUAAUAUUAAAGUUAUUGAGACAAUUCUAAAAACCACAUCUGCCAACAGACUAUUUAUACAAGAAAUAGAGAAAAAAAUCAACUGGAUUUUUUUUAAAUAGGCCUAUAGUAAUUACUCUUCAAUACAAUAAUAUAAUGUCCUCAAAUGAGCCGUGCUAGAUUGAUUUAUUACAGAAUUCGUAUUAUAUAAAAAAAAAAUUUUAACUUUCUAAGUAAUGAUUUAUGGAUAUUAUUACAUGUUGAAAUGGUUACGGAUAGGUACUUUUUUAUUACAUUAAGGGCGACACGAGCAGGACGUUCAGCAGAUGGUAAAUGAUACACCCUUCCCAUUACAAUGCUGUGCUGCUCGGGUUUCUUGAAAAACCCCAAAAUUAUGAACGGCACUACAAUUGCGCUCUUCACUUAGAGACUUGAGACAUAGAAGUUAAGUCUCAUUUGCCCAGUAAUUUCACUAGCACAAUAAUGCUUACACAUUACUGCUUCACGGCAGCAAAAGGCGCCGUUGUGGUACUCAUAAUCCAGCCGGCAUCCCGUGCAAAGGACACUUCCACUGGUAGAUACUUAUAAAAAAUAUUCGAUUUUUAUUUUUCCCACAGUUUAUUUUUAAUUUAUUUAGAACUGGGUUGCAAAUUAACUCUUCUUUUGUAUUUUUCUGUUGUUUCGCUGAUUUACUUUCUAAUUUUUUCAUGUUUUGUUGUUUUCUUCAGUAAUCCAUUUGGGUUAUUUUUAGCUUUCGUGCCCACUUAACUGGAACCCGUAGAUCCGAACUUGUGCGCCAUGUCGUUGAGGUGAUCACCUUUCGUUUUUUCAAUCACUCACUUAUGCCUUUACAAUCAACUAGUUUAUCUAUGAUUAUGAGUGCGGUUUGUGGGAUUGUUUAGACGAAAUUUAGAACCCUCACACAAGUUUGGUGAUACGCGGGAGCAGUUUUGGCGGGAAAUCAACGCACCAUCUGUCUCUAAUUUUUUUUUUAUGCCAUCGACUUAAAGUAACAGUCAAAGGUGUAAUUUUAAAGCCAGACUGUUUAUUUUUUAGUAGGUAAGUAAUUUAGCCUAUUUUAUUGUGCCCCAUGCUAAUAGAUAAGGAAAUAAGAAUAUAAUACCUACAACAACUUUAAUUUUAAAAUCUAAGAUUUUUAUUUAUUUUCUUGUAGUUUUAUAUCCAUACGAUAAUUAAAAGAAAAGUGCUCUAACAAUAAAUCGUUUGUAUGGUAUCAGUGACCGUUAAAUCUAUAUUCAUUCAAUAAAGGGAAGACUUACAUAUAUAUAAUAUUAUCAUUCUAGUAUUUCUUCUUUGUUAGAAUAAAAAUACUAAAACUUCAAUUUGUUUCGAGAUGCCAAACAGUAAUAAUAUAUAGAUAUGUACUUACAUAAUAUUGUAAGAUAGAUAUAAAUAUUGAAAUGUUACUUUUCGUCGAUGGCCCCUUGAUUUUAAUUAGAAUUGUGUGUAUUUUAAUGCUUUUUGAUUGUUUUUUUUUACUUAGUAUUAAUCAUUUGACUUUUUUCAUUGUUUUUCAUUAUUUAUUUUAUUGUGUUUGCGUUUUUUUUGAAGUAGCCAAAAAGUAAAACAAGAAUUUUAUAUUUAAUUAUAAAAAUAGCCUAUAACAUACCUAUAACAAACUAUAUAAAAAAUAAUAAAUACAAUAUACAAAUAUUUACAAUAAUACGAAAUAGAAAUCCAACUUAAAUAGUUAGGUACAUAAAGCGUUUCUAAGGCUCUAUUUAAAACUGAUUCAAUAUAAGAUUUUUGCCAUUCAGAAUACUUACAAAAAGUUUAUAGAAUCAAAGUUUGUCCUAAAUAAAUUAACUUCUGACGAAAGCUGGUUGUGAGUAAUCACCUCCAACCAAGGGCAAUAACACAAAUAUUACAGUACUCUAAAGAGGAUGUGUGUUGAAGUUUAGUUAACUAGUUCAAGUACUAUCUGUAAUCGUAAAUAUCUAAGAAAAGUUAAAAGAAAAGAAACGAAAAAUAUAUUUAAUUGUUAUUGCAUUAUUGUAAGCAAGUUAACGUCUUGAAAAUUUUCAUGUCACGUAAGCACCAUUGCUGGAUUACUUAAGCAAGCGCGGGGCCCGUAGCAAACUCUUUCAAAGAGCCCUUUAUAGAGUUUCAUACUUUUGUGACAUAAGUCGAUAAAAUAUAUCACAUCUUAAUAAGUUUCACUCAAAAAAUUAUGCUAUGACAUAGAUAGAUCAGUGAGAUUUAAAUAUGCGGCGAAUUUCUUGCUGGGCCCGUAGCAAUUGCUUGUGUUCCUACGUGCUAAAUCCGGCACUGUACAGCACACGUCUUAUAUUUCUUGACUGUGUUUGACUUGAAGUUUCUGUAAAACUUUAAAUAAAUGGAUCGCAUUGUAAUCGUUACGCUUUUGUAUAUUACGUCAAAGUAUCAACUGAUUAUUGUUUUAAUCACAUUGAGUGUGUUCUUAAUUCAAUGUAUAUGUUUUUACUAGAAAUUGGUCCUGUUUUCUAAUUAUUAUACAUGUUAAUUAAAAAUGUAGCGUAUUGCUCUUAGAUUAUUGUAUGUUAUAUUGAAUUAGCGCCAUCUAGCGUCGAAUGGUGAAGACAAGUCAUUGUCGGGGUGAGGUAGUAGGUUGUAUAGUACUGUAUCACAACUUUUAGGAGAAACUGUAUAGCCUGCUAACUUUCCUCGCUGAUGACAAUACUACAGAAGAAGAGAAGAGAAGACACGGCUUAUAUUCUAAGACAAUUUGUGAAACCAAUUUCUAGACUAGACUAGAAUGUAAGCUAAUAAAUGUAUUAAAUCAUUACAAAA